UGGGGAAUAUUGGACAAUGGGGGAAACCCUGAUCCAGCAAUGCCGCGUGUGCGAUGAAGGCCUGAGGGUUGUAAAGCACUUUCGUUGGGGAGGAAAUGCUUAAAGAUAAUACCUUUAAGAGUUGACUUAACCCAAAUAAGAAGCACCGGCUAACUCUGUGCCAGCAGCCGCGGUAAUACAGAGGGUGCAAGCGUUAAUCGGAGUUACUGGGCGUAAAGCGUGCGUAGGCGGAAAUUUGAGUCGGUUGUGAAAUCCUUGGGCUUAACCUGAGAAUGGCAAUCGAUACUAGAUUUCUAGAGUAUUGGAGAGGAAAGUGGAAUUCCCGGUGUAGCGGUAAAAUGCGUAGAUAUCGGGAAGAACACCAGUGGCGAAGGCGACUUUCUGGCCAAAUACUGACGCUGAUGUACGAAAGCGUGGGGAGCAAACAGGAUUAGAGUACCUGGUAGUCCACGCUGUAAACGAUGAGAACUAGAUGUUGUCUGUACCACUAAAUG
rnacentral:rRNA from 1 species